rnacentral:rRNA from 1 species
AAUAGAUACCCAGGUAGUCCACGCCGUAAACGGUGUCUACUAGCCGUUGGGGGACUUGAUUCCUUAGUGGCGCAGCUAACGCGAUAAGUAGACCGCCUGGGGAGUACGGCCGCAAGGUUAAAACUCAAAUGAAUUGACGGGGGCCCGCACAAGCGGUGGAGCAUGUGGUUUAAUUCGAUGCAACGCGAAGAACCUUACCAGGUCUUGACAUCCUCGGAACUUUCUAGAGAUAGAUUGGUGCCUUCGGGAACCGAGUGACAGGUGCUGCAUGGCUGUCGUCAGCUCGUGUCGUGAGAUGUUGGGUUAAGUCCCGUAACGAGCGCAACCCUUGUCCUUUGUUGCCAUCAGGUUAUGCUGGGAACUCAAAGGAGACUGCCGGUGACAAACCGGAGGAAGGUGGGGACGACGGUCAAGUCAUCAUGGCCCUUACGACCUGGGCUACACACGUGCUACAAUGGCCGGUACAGAGGGCUGCUAAACCCGGCGAGGGGGCGCUAAUCCCAGAAAACCGGUCGUAGUCCGGAUUGAAGUCUGCAACUCGACUUCA